GCAAUGAUUUUUAAGUCUUUGUCUUGUACACAGUAAAAGUUUGUUAACCAACUGUCUAAUCUCUUCCCUAAUGAGAAUGUUCAAUACACUGAAACCUAGAAUGACCUCUCUCCCUUCGUAGGUACACAGGAGAGAUGUACAUACAGACUUUAAAACAAAUAACUCAACAAUCCCAAAUUCUCUCACAAAAUGUUAACAUGAUUAUAAUCACAUAAUCCAGAUUUUCUUGGGGAAAGUUUUUCAGGACUAAUCUCACAAAGCUAUAACCAAUUAUCUAAAACAAAGUCUUGUGUUCCAUGAAUGUUUCUUGAGGUGAUGAUUUGUAAAUUCAGCCAUUACACACUUGUGGGAAACCAGCUCACGUUUAAUCAUGACACUUUAAAAUUGUACAAGUGUUUUGACACCCGCACCCUCCCUCCAUAUUUAGUCUCAUUAAAAUGACAGGAAAACACCAAUCACAGGUUUAAUGGGUUUAAUAAGUUUACCCCUUCAGUUCCUAUUUGCAGCACCCAGUAUUCCUUUGAGAUACCAGAGAGACCCGGCAGUGGCCAACCGUAAAUUUCAGACCUCCAGAGUUUAAAAGUUCUGGUUCUUUCAGCAUUCUGUGUUGCAGUGGCACUUGUCCAAAAUCGGUACCUCCCUAUAGUUGGGAAACUUUAUUAUGUACCAGUGAAAAAAGCCUUUUCUCCCUUCAAGGGAAGAAAGAAAAA